AUAUAAUAGAAACGAAAUCAUGUGUUGUAUUAAUGGAACAGAAUCAAUUUCAGCCGACAAGACGUUGGUCUAGCUUCUUUGAAAGGAUAUAAUGGAAUAUUGGAAUGAGAAACUGCUUACAGCUGCUAGGAAUGGAAUAGUAGAAGACGUACAACUUUGCUUAGCGAAUGGAGCAAACAUUGAUUAUGCAAAAGAG